rnacentral:rRNA from 1 species
AUUGAACGCUGGCGGCAGGCCUAACACAUGCAAGUCGAGCGAGCGGCGGACGGGUGAGUAAUGUCUGGGAAACUGCCUGAUGGAGGGGGAUAACUACUGGAAACGGUAGCUAAUACCGCAUACCAUCAGAUGUGCCCAGAUGGGCUUAGCUAGUAGGUGGGGUAACGGCUUACCUAGGCGACGAUCCCUAGCUGGUCUGAGAGGAUGACAAGCCCACAUGGAACUGAGACACGGUCCAGACGACUACGGGAGGCAGCAGUGUGGAAUAUUGCACAAGGGGGGCAAGCCUGAUGCAGCCAUGCCGCGUGUGUGAAGAAGGCCUUCGGGUUGUAAAGCACUUUCAGCGGGGAGGCGUUACCCGCAGAAGAAGCACCGGCUAACUCCGUGCCAGCAGCCGCGGUAAUAC